UCUUAGAACCUUAUCUGCGACAUUGAUGAAUAUAAUGUCCAUCGCCUUCUCAUCUCGCUCUAUUCUAGCCUCUUCCUCCUCGAUCCACUUCUUCUUCUUUGCAGGAUCUCCUUCUUCUUCUUCCGUGAGAGGUUUAUGUGGUGGUUGCUCCACCAGAGCAGUCUUUAGCCCCAACACUCUGAGGUGAGCGAACAUCC
rnacentral:sRNA from 1 species